UAUUGCACAAUGGGGGAAACCCUGAUGCAGCGACGCCGCGUGAGUGAGGAAGUAUUUCGGUAUGUAAAGCUCUAUCAGCAGGGAAGAAAAUGACGGUACCUGACUAAGAAGCUCCGGCUAAAUACGUGCCAGCAGCCGCGGUAAUACGUAUGGAGCAAGCGUUAUCCGGAUUUAAUGGGUGUAAAGGGAGCGUAGGCGGUAAGGCAAGUCUGAUGUGAAAGGCCAGGGCUCAACCCUGGGACUGCAUUGGAAACUGUUUAACUGGAGUGUCGGAGAGGCAAGUGGAAUUCCUAGUGUAGCGGUGAAAUGCGUAGAUAUUAGGAGGAACACCAGUGGCGAAGGCGGCUUGCUGGACGAUGACUGACGCUGAGGCUCGAAAGCGUGGGUAUCGAACAGG
rnacentral:rRNA from 1 species